rnacentral:rRNA from 1 species
AGUGGCGGACGGGUGAGUAACACGUAAGAAUUUGCCUUUAGGAGGGGGACAACAACUGGAAACGGUUGCUAAUACCCCAUAUGCUUUCGAGUGAAACGGAUUUUUCCGCCUAAAGAGAAGCUUGCGGCUGAUUAGCUUGUUGGUGAGGUAAUGGCUCACCAAGGCGACGAUCAGUAUCUGGUUUGAGAGGACGAUCAGACACACUGGAACCGAGACACGGUCCAGACUCCUACGGGAGGCAGCAGUGGGGAAUUUUCCGCAAUGGGCGAAAGCCUGACGGAGCAAUACCGCGUGAGGGAUGACGGCCUAUGGGUUGUAAACCUCUUUUUUCAGGGAGGAAUCAAAUGACGUGUACCUGAAGAAUAAGCAUCGGCUAACUCCGUGCCAGCAGCCGCGGUAAGACGGGGGAUGCAAGUGUUAUCCGGAAUCACUGGGCGUAAAGCGUCUGUAGGUGGUCAAAUAAGUCAACUGUUAAAUCUUGAGGCUCAACCUCAAAAUCGCAGUCGAAACUAUUAGACUAGAGUAUAGUAGGGGUAAAGGGAAUUUCCAGUGGAGCGGUGAAAUGCGUAGAGAUUGGAAAGAACACCGAUGGCGAAGGCACUUUACUGGGCUAUUACUAACACUCAGAGACGAAAGCUAGGGUAGCAAAUGGGAUUAGAUACCCCAGUAGUCCUAGCCGUAAACAAUGGAUACUAGAUGU